rnacentral:lncRNA from 1 species
UUUAAAUUGACUGAUUCCUUAUAUGAACAGUAACUCAGUAAAAUCUUUGAAAUUGUUGCAUGUUGCGUUUGUAUUUUUGAUCAGUAUAUAUUUGUGUCAAAGACCUUGAAUACCGUGGGAAUUAUAACUGCUAUGUUUGCUGUGCAUCAUACAGAUCACCCGCUCUCACCAAUGAACACAACCCAAGGUCAGUGUGAAAUUGCAGAGCAGUACAAUAAUAUGUGUCGACAAGCUAAAACCUAUACGAUAGCAUUAGUUGAUAGAACACUAAAGCUGUGAGAAACACACAGCAUAACACAGGUGCUAUGAUAGUGGUUGGUGGCGUUAGAUACAAAAAGGGUCAAGCUUGAUGGUUUUAUGAUGUUGAAGUUCAACUGUGGAUGUAUUUACUUUGCAUCCUGAUUUUUGUGGUGUUUGUGUACUCGCAUGUCUUAUCAAACAAAAUGUGUCAAUAUGAUGCUGGGAAAUGCUUAGGGAGUCAAUUAAAGCCAAGUAAACCAUUUUACAUCCAGAGCAAGGAGCUACGAACACAGGGCUGAAUCCUGAUCUGGGAUAUUAAUCACAUCUCAAACAUCCAUAUAAAUCAUAAAUAUUUAGGUAAGUCCUUUAGAAGACUUUACAUAAAUAUAUUAAGGCCAAGAUUUCAACAUUUACUGCAUAGUGAGAAGAAAAACUGCUGACACAUUAUGGGUCUAAACCAGGCUUAAAACUUGGGAAAUGGAUAAAUUUAUAACUCAGCAAGUUGGGAAGACAGGUUUAGACAGAGAGAUUAAUUCAUUAUUUUCGCUGGCUGCCUUUUAUGUACUAGAUGAACAUGUGGCAGAGAACAAGGGAUGUGUCCCAAAUGGUACCCUAUUCCCUAUAUAGUGCACUACAUUUGACCAGGGUAGAUCGGGG